CCUACGGGUGGCAGCAGUGGGGAAUAUUGGACAAUGGGGGGAACCCUGAUCCAGCGACGCCGCGUGAGGGAAGACUGCCCUAUGGGUUGUAAACCUCUUUUGUCAGGGAGCAACGCCGGCUACAUGUAGCCGGACUGAGAGUACCUGAAGAAAAAGCAUCGGCUAACUCCGUGCCAGCAGCCGCGGUAAUACGGAGGAUGCGAGCGUUAUCCGGAUUUAUUGGGUUUAAAGGGUGCGUAGGCGGAAUGCCAAGUCAGCGGUAAAAUCGCGGGGCUCAACCUCGCUCCGCCGUUGAAACUGGCGUUCUUGAGUGGGCGAGAAGUAUGCGGAAUGCGUGGUGUAGCGGUGAAAUGCAUAGAUAUCACGCAGAACUCCGAUUGCGAAGGCAGCAUACCGGCGCCCAACUGACGCUGAAGCACGAAAGCGUGGGUAUCGAACAGGAUUAGAUACCCUAGUAGUC
rnacentral:rRNA from 1 species